CUCAACCGUAAGGAGGGGGAUGCCUAAGGCAGGGCUAGUGACUGGGGUGAAGUCGUAACAAGGUAGCCGUACCGGAAGGUGUGGCUGGAUCACCUCCUUAAAGGGAGACCUAAUUCAGGUAGGCGACGAAAAAAAAGUAGUCCCAACCAAGAAUCAAUCCCAAAAGGUCGGAGCGAGGCAAAAUUGGCUUUCAAACUAGGUUCUGGGUUCACACAAGACCUGAAUCAGGAACAAGGGCUAUUAGCUCAGGUGGUUAGAGCGCACCCCUGAUAAGGGUGAGGUCCCUGGUUCGAGUCCAGGAUGGCCCACCUGCACAGGUGGCAAAAACAAAAGAAGCGAGGAAUCAGCACCUUAUCUUACUUAUAUAGUAAGAGAGAAUGCUGGCUCUGAGUACAGAGUCCAGAGGAACCUUGAAAACUGCAUAGAGCUAGGUGAAAAAGCCAAAAAAGAAGACCGCAAGGUCAAGCUAAUAAGGGCUAACGGUG
rnacentral:sRNA from 1 species